GAUGAACGCUGGCGGCGUGCUUAACACAUGCAAGUCGAACGGAAAGGCCCAAGCUUGCUUGGGUACUCGAGUGGCGAACGGGUGAGUAACACGUGGGUGAUCUGCCCUGCACUUCGGGAUAAGCCUGGGAAACUGGGUCUAAUACCGGAUAGGACCACAUUUUGGAUGGUGUGGUGGAAAGUUUUUCGGUGGGGGAUGAGCUCGCGGCCUAUCAGCUUGUUGGUGGGGUAAUGGCCUACCAAGGCGUCGACGGGUAGCCGGCCUGAGAGGGUGUACGGCCACAUUGGACCUGAGAUACGGCCCAGACUCCUACGGGAGGCAGCGGUGGGGAAUAUUGCACAAUGGGCGCAAGCCUGAUGCAGCGACGCCGCGUGGGGGAUGACGGCCUUCGGGUUGUAAACUCCUUUCGCUAGGGACGAAGCGCAAGUGACGGUACCUGGAGAAGAAGCACCGGCUAACUACGUG
rnacentral:rRNA from 1 species